AUCUGGGGUGAGUCUGCACAUUCCUCUAAUCACCUUAAGUCAUUGCAGGUGGGCGGCUCUGGAGAGCGGCCAGCUGCAGUGAGUUUCCCUCAUCGGCUACAUGGGUUUAUAAGGAGCUGGAGAUCACUUCACCUCGCCGGAAGAUUACUCACCUUGGGAAUUCUCACCACGAACCUUUCCUGCAAUAACCUGGUUUUUCAUCUCCAAGCCUGAUCUCCCUCCUCACCAGAACCGACCCGCUCUCCCACCGCUCACCUUCCUUGGAUUUUGGAUUCAUGCUGAAGUUGCUCACCCCAGUCCUGGCUACCCUCCCAAGCUCUGGAUCUCAGCCCCACAACCCAGCCCGGAGCUCUGCUCAGCCUCACCGCCACGUCUGGCGGUGCACCUUUAGUUCUACUUAAAAUAAAACAUUUAUUUUUCCUACCACGUCUCCUAGUGUGAAUUCUGCAUGUCUUGGGUCAGGAAACUUCCCUCGGUCAUGACAGAAUCAGAAAUGUUUUAUUGUCCCAAAAACUGGGAAAUAUGACAUUUGUAAGUGGAUACUGAUGACAUUAUUUCCUAUGAAAGUGUUUCCUAUGUACUUAUCUGUUUUAUUUAUCUACUUUAAAGAGGAUUAAGACUUUCCUUGAGGAACACCAUGACACAGGAUGGGCUGAAUGCUCUUGCCAUGCUCUCCAUGGAAAAAAAAAGCUUGUCACAAACAUUCCUGACUUCAAUAAAAAGCUAAUCGAGAGCUUUGCCACUCUGAAGGACAGAAGGGCAAAAUUUCUGUACAAAUGAGGUAUCACACACACACACAAAUGCAUCCACUUGAUCUUUGUAUAAAGUUGACCUUGGCACAACACUCCAGAAAUAUUUAACAGUGUAAAUUUCUGGCAUUUUGUCUAAGUAGUGUUUACUACCAUUACUGUAACAGUGACCUGCUCAUAAUUUUUCGUGGUCACUCAAAUGUUGAAAUUAAACAAAAUGUUUUUGUUACUUGCCUCUUGCAUUGCCUAUUUACCAUUUAUGGUCAUGUUAUUUUAUGUGCAAUUUAAUGCAGUAUUUUUCAACCUUGGUCUGCAAGGCAGCGUGCCAAUAGUCAGACACACCUGGAUUAAUCAGUUUGUCCAAUGAUGUAAGACAGGAAAUAAAAGAGCUGUGCUUAAUUCAGGAAAUAGUGAAGUUGUGCACAAAGCUCAGAACGCACAAGUUUGUUUAAAAAAAAUAGCACAGCCCCACCAAAAAUAUUUUUCACCAGCCGCCACUGGUUAAUCCGGUGUUGUCUGAGUUGGCGCGAGGGGAAACGUUGAGCUUCCACUAAUUCAUUA